AACAGGAUGGCCGAGCGGUUAAGGCGAUGGACUUAGAAUCCAAUUUCCUCGUGGGUUCGAACCCCACUCCUGGUA